GGACUGACAGCCGCCGCGUCUUUUAGACGGGGAGGAAAGUCCGGUCUCCACAGGGUAGCGUGCCGGUUAACGGCCGGGAGGUCACCCUCAAAGGGUGGCUUACGGAAAGUGCCGCAGAAAAUAUACCGCCGUGCCUUUGUGCACGGUAAGGGUGAAAAGGUGUGGUAAGAGCACACCGCGUCUCAAGUAAUUGGGACGGCAGGGUAAACCCCACGCGGAGCAAGACCAAAUAGGGAACUAGCGGUGACCCACCGCGCCCCCGGUUGUUCUGGUUGGACCCUAGCGUUCUUGGAAGUACGGAGCGGCUGAUUUGGAGCUGCAAGGCAAGAAAUUCGGUUAUUAGAUCGGAUUUCUCCUCCAAAUUUUUCAGACUGCUGGGGUUCAAAAGAUCAGCUGCAGUUCCGGGUAGGUCGCUUGAGUCCGUUGGUAACGACGGACCUAGAUGAAUGGCUGUCACUCAACUUUAUGUUGGGGAACAGAAACCGGCUUAUAGUUCGGC
rnacentral:RNase_P_RNA from 1 species